AACAGAGAGAUUCGAGAUUAUUCUCGCAAUGCGAGUAAACAGGAUGUUUCCAUAUUCAUAAAUAUCGCUAUUCGCGUCUCGAAGGAUCAAGCUAUCGUUAGAUACUUAUAUCGUAAAUAAACAACAUAACAGAGAUCGUACAGGACGUACAGUAUUGUAUUGAGUAGUAGUCAUAUUGAGAUCUCUUUGUACUGUAGUAAGGAAAAGAAUGAAUUUAAACUCAAGUGUUUUAAUGUGAAUAAAGUGUCGUAUUAAUUAAUGUGUUCCUUUAACGUUUAAUGAAUUGUGUUACGCUCGCAAGUUAAUCAUUGUAUGACUAAGACUGUUAGAUAUGAGAUGUCAGACUUUAAUAUCAGAUGAUCUUAAGAUAACGCAUAUCAAAAGGUAUGACAUUGUGAACGCAGAGUUUUUGCGUUUAAGAUAUCUUCUUAUAUUUCAUAUGACAUAUUGUCUUCGCUCUGCGUCGCGAAUUUGUGGCAAUAUAACACGCCAUAAUAGUUUCUACUUUUAAAGGUAUUGUGAUUUGCUCAACUAAACCUCGAUCUGGAACAUCUGCAUUUUUUCUAAAGUAAGCACGGGUGAUGAUAGUUGCCUUAAAAGUUCUAUAUUGAUACAAUUUACGUUCUAUAAAUAUACAUCAUUCUCGAAAGAGAAAUCGCAAUUUAUAGUUAAUAUAUCGUUUCUUUUCACAAGAAAGAAAAUGGGUCUGAAAUGGUUUCGGGCAAGUCUAUCGAUGGAGAAAGAAGCGUCUAAAAUUCCAGCAAUGACAGGCUUAUAUCGGAGAAUUUCAUUCGAGCCGGCAAUUCAAAAAAAUAUGGAAGUCUCAUUGUCAACUGCGCCUAUUUUAAUCGUAAGUGAUUCAACGUCAAGUGGCGAUAACGAAAUAGUGAAAAAUAAUCGCUCAAGAGCAGAUCUUACAAAUCAAACAUCAUCGUCAAUUAUUGAUUCGGAGGAAAUCACGAUAAAAGACAUUGACAACAAACCACAGAUAAAUAAUUAUUCGGUUGAAAAUAUAGAGUCUUCUACUUUCACCAAAGAUCCAAAUGUAAAAGAGGAAUCGGCAUGUAGCGAGAAAUUAAAUAAGAUAACUAAAGAUCAGAAUACGUCAGAUACAAAAAGUCUUAUCAAUUCAGAUAACGAGCUAGUGAUCUAAUAAGGAGAAAAUGUUAAAUAAUGCAUAUAUAGACGUUUAGCAUAAAAAAGGGAUACUCUUGUCUCGAUUCGGCAUCUCUACUUUACUGUCUUAUAUCUUUUUAUAUAUACUACACACACACACACACAACACACACACACACACACACA
rnacentral:misc_RNA from 1 species